GCACAGAGAGGCUGAACUGUUUCCAUGCACUCCCACUGAUACUGCAUCAGGAUGAUGUUGCCAAUAACUCUGUUUGUCAUGUUGGGUUUUCUGAGUCAUGAGUCGUCUGCCAACAAAUUUCUGACUCAGGCUGACAAAUCCAAGUCUGUCAGUCUUGAAGGGACUGUGACCAUCAGCGCCUCAGGGAGUUCAGAUAUUGAUGAUGAUCUCAGUUGGUACCUUCAGAAACCUGGACAGGCUCCUAAACUUCUUAUAUACCAAGAAUCAACUCUCUUCACUGGAACUCCGUCUCGAUUCAGUGGCAGUAGAUCUGGUUCUCACUACACUUUAACCAUCAGUGGUUUUAAGGCUGAAGAUGAAGAUUUAGAGCCGUACAAAAACCUCCUUCAGUUUGAGUGAAGUGAAAGCGGCCUGCUGCAGGUGCAGAGGGUUGGUGAAGAGACUGUGAUGAGGAGAACUGGUCCAGUGAACACAACACAAGAGUCAUCAAGCAGAACCACAAUCAAUCUAAAUAAAACUGACACACACUCACAGACACUCUUACACAUAUAGUUUUAAACUUUACUCUUAUCAGUUCAUUUAAC